rnacentral:lncRNA from 1 species
CUUUUCUUCUAGAUUUUCAAAUUUGUUGGCAUAUAAUUGUUCAUAGUAUUCUCUUAUGGUUUUUUCUAUUUCUGAAGUAUCUGUUGAGAUUUCUCCUGUUUUCAGUUCUUGUUUUGUUUGAGUUCUUUCUCUCCUCUUGGUGAGUCUGCCAGAGGUUUAUCAAUUUUGUUUACCUUGUCAAAGAACCAGUUCUUGGUUUUACUGAUUUUUUUUCCCCAUUGUUUUCUUGAAUAUCUAUUUUAUUGAUUUCCUCUUUGAUCGUUAUGAUUUCCUUCUUUCUGCUGACUUUAGGUUUUGUUUGUUCUUUUUUCUAAUUCUUUUAGGUGAUAGGUUAAGUUGUUGAUUUGAGAUUUUUCUUCUUUUUUGAGGAAGGCUUGCAUCACUAUGAUCUUCCCUCUAAGAACUGCUUUUGCAGCAACCCAUAGAUUUUGAAUGGCUGUGUUUUCAUUAUCAUUUGUCUCAAGGUAUUUUUAAAUUUCCCUUUGGAUUUCCGCAUUGACCUAUUGGUUUUUCAGUAGCAUGUUGCUUAGUCUCCAUGCAGUCAGUUUUUUCUCAUUUCUUUUCCUUUGAUUGAUUUCUAGUUUCAUGCUAUCAUGGUCAGAGAAGAUGCUUGAAAUAAUUUCUGUACUCUUAUAUUUGUUGAGUUUAGGUUUGUGCCCCAGUAUGUGGUCAAUCCUUGAGAAUGUUCCAUGUACAUUUGAAAAGAAUGUAUAUUCUGAUUUUUUUGGAUGUAAUGUCCUGAAAAUAUCAAUUAAGUCUUACAUUUCUGUUGAAUCAUUUAGGAUCUCUGUUGCCUUAUUGAUUUUUCUAUCUAGAGGAUCUGUCCAUUGAUGUGAGUGGUCUGUUAAAUCUCCUACUAUUAUUUUAUUCCCAUCAAUUUCUCCUUUCAUGUUUGUUAGUAUUCAUUGUAUGUAUCUGGGUGCUUUUAUAAGGGGCAUAUAUAUUAAUGAGUGUAAUGUCCUCUUCUUGAAUGGAUCCUUGUAUCAUUAAAUAGUGUCUUUCUUUGUCUUUCUUUAUGGCCUUCAUUUUAAAGUUUAUGUUGUCUGGUAUGAGUAUUGCAACUCUUACUUUCCUGUCUUGUCCUUUCUUUUCUUAUCAUGAAAUAUCUUUUCCCAUCUCCUCACUUUCAAUUUAUAUGUGUCCUUUGCCCUAAGGUGAGUCUCUUGUAGGAAGCAUAGUGUAGGCUUUUUUUUUUAAUCCAGUCUGCCACACUAUGUCUUUCGAUUGGAGCAUUCAGUCUAUUGACAUUUAAGGUAAUUAUUGAUAAAUAGGUAUUUAUUGCCAUUUUAAGCUUUGUUUUCCAUUUGAUUCCAUGUUUCUCCUUUGUUCCUUUCUUUUUUUGGUUGGAUGAUUUCCUUUUAUUUUAUGACUUUGUCCUUUUCUUUUUAGUUUUGUGAAUGUAUUGUUUGGUUUUGAUUUGUGGUUGCCCUGUUUUUCAAGUAUGUUAACCCCUUGCUGUAUCUGCUUUCUUUAGCCUGAUAGUCAUAUAGGCUCAAACACAUU